rnacentral:rRNA from 1 species
GUGCCAGCAGCCGCGGUAAUACAGAGGGUGCAAACGUUGCUCGGAAUGAUUGGGCGUAAAGCGCGUGUAGGCGGCCCACCAAGCCGGCUGUGAAAGCCCACGGCUUAACCGUGGAAGUGCAGCCGGGACUGAUGGGCUAGAGUCCCGAAUAGGGUGGCGGAAUGCCCAGUGUAGAGGUGAAAUUCGUAGAUAUUGGGUAGAACACCGGUGGCGAAGGCGGCCACCUGGGAGGCGACUGACGCUGAGACGCGAAAGCGUGGGGAGCAAACAGGAUUAGAUACCCUGGUAGUCC